UUGAUAUGGUCCAUGAAGUAAAACUCUAAGUUCAUUUUACUCGUAUAAGGCGAAUUAUAAUAAUAGACUGACGAUUCGUCGUGCAAAAUUUUUCUACUAUAUAGAAGCACGGGAGCGGUAGGCAGGAUCACAUGCCUCAAGGGUAUUUUGGCCCUUUCAUGUUUUGUUUAUUCAAUGUGGCUCUAAUCCUAUAGCCAGCGCAUACAUAAUCAUAAAUUCAGCCACCGCAUCAGCUGCUAUCUAGAAUUUUCUCUCAGCCAUUGUCUUGUACUUCUCUCUUUUGUUGUUCUUCCCUUUCAAUCUUAGUUUGGUUGUGUUCUUCCACUCAAUUUUUCUGUUUCAUUUUAUUGUUUUAGUCUAAUUUGGUUUCUAUCUGUCAACUUGUAUUUUUUUUUUUAGAGAUAUGGUAAUAACAAUAUGCAGAUGCCGAAAGCAAGGGCGGUGGAGUCAUGGAUGAUGGUGAAAGGAUAUACUCAAUAAGUUGCCGCCAACAGGUAAUGUUUUGUACUCCAUACGUAGAACUGUGUAGCAGGCUACUUCGAUUCUGUUUAAUCUACGGUCUUUGAUUAUUUUUGGGUUCUGGUGAGUAUUUGCCCCUUCCUUAUUUUGUUCUUGAUAAGGAAUUUAAUGGAUGUGUUAGCAAGAGUUGUUCAAUCUGAUAGGUGCAAUGAACUCAUUCGUGAUAUGUUUGUUAGAUUGCGUAUGAUGGUAUUUUCAUCUUCGAGAAUGCUUGCUCAUCUUUUUGACAGCUCAUUGGUAGAGGAAAUAACAGAGAACUGCUAAAACAUAUUCUAAUAAUUCAUAUCUUUAAUAGAGGAAAUGUGUAAUUUUCUGGACAAUUAUUGUAUAUAGUAAAGUGAUAACUAUAUUCAUGCCACCUCUCCAUCAUAUAGUUGUUUGUUAUAAACUUCCAAAGCAGAGUUGUACCAUUGUAUGAAAGAGGUGAAACCAGAAAUUAACAUGUCAACAAAUUGCCAUUUAUGCUUAGAAGAAGGAGGCAUAUCUUAUAACAUCAGUAAAGCAUUUUCUUUUUGUAGUUAUGGUGAAGAAUACUUUGGCAAUAUUAUUACAAGGUUAAGCUUGAGUUUGUCUAAAGAGUUUUGUAUAGUAUGCCCUCAGUUGCUUUUCGCUAAUGCAGGUUGGAGGUUGCUCAUUUAGUCAUAUUAUUCGAUGUACAGACUUUUUCUUUUCAGCUCACAACUUUUCUAUAUAGAGUAUUUGUUGAUGUCACUCAUGAGAUGAAUAACGAAGAUGGAAUAAUACAACCUUUCAUCUCUCUGUUCUGAGGGAUAGAUGUGUGGUAAUCCAUUUGACAACUUAUCAGUUCUCUCAAAGUUAUUAUAAUGCUGGUAAAUGUAAUAGCUCUAAGAGAAGUUCUUCCACCUAACUGUGUUGUAUUAGGAUCACUGGGAUCUGACACAACCAAAUCAAAGUCAAAACUUUAGAGUCUCGCACUGAUUUGAUACUCUUCAGGUUAAUUAUUCUUCAUCCUUUUAGCAACAUCUUCUGAAACAUGCUUUCCUUUUUCUCCCCGUUAAAUCAUUUUAAAUUUAGGAUUUCAUGGUUUCUGAGUUUGAAAUUAGUCCUCAAAGGGAUUUCUGGGAGAAAAUCCUCAAACUGCAAACUGUGAGCGUUCUUGGAGUUUCAGACGGCGGAACGGGAAUAUACUGAGGUAUAACCCCUUCUACUUCUCUCUUUUGUAUAAAGGAUUUCGGUAUUUUUGGUUCCACCAUUUUAAUUUAUUGUUAAGUCGAAGGCCGAUUAUCUUGUAAUUUAGAAAUAUAACCUCCUUGAAAUUUUUAUUUUGUUUCUGAGGUCGGUAUGACACGUGGAAAUUUUACAAUGCUAAUCAAAAUUUUUUGAGGUAUAACUCCUUUGAAAUUUGCCUACGUGUACUCUUUUUUCCUCUUAUUCUCUGACUUUGUUCUUUUUCUUCUUUUAGGGGUUGUAUGGUAGCUGGUUAGAGUUAUGCAGGUAUUAGUAAUAUCGAAAUUAGUUAAGAGGGAAUCUAUACAGAUCAUAGUAGGAAACGACUGUAUCUGGGAUCAGUUUUAAUUUUAGUAAAAAACGUAAAAAAACUAGAAAAGGCCUAUUUUGUUCAGGAAAACUAGCGACUCACCGUAUCCUUCUUGAUGCUCAUCUAUGAUACAAUUUUUUGCACUUACAUUUAUUAUCCGAUUUUGCAUUACUUGCUUUAGCAGUUUGAUACUCAAAAAAAAAAAAAAAGGGAGAGAAUGUUAAGCUGCUCAAUCAGCUAUCUGUUCAGAUAUCAACCUUUUGAGUUUUUGCGUAAACUGAAUUUCAUGGCUGUUGAAGGAAAUUUCAAUUGGUGUUAAAACUUACAAGUUCAGGUAUACUCCUCUUAAAUUUUUGCCUGAAUCUUCUGUUUCUUUUUCCCUAUCAUCUUCUGUUCUUUUUUUUUUUUUUUUUUUGCUUUUCAAUUUCUGUUCAGGUUUUUCAUUUUUGUGGCUGAAUAUCAUGGCUUUUGAAGGAAAGACUAAACUUUUAGGUGAAACUGAUUAUUGUUGUAAUCCUAUCUGACAUAUGAAGAAACAAAAGGGGUUAUCAAGAUGUUUUAGAGAGUAUUUUCAGAUAUAAUUCUGAGUUUUUGUUGUGGAUCAGUAUUUAAAAUCUCCUUAUGAUUUGUGAUUCAGUUUAGCUCAUAAUUAUUGUGUGUGUUUUUUCUUUCAUUUCCUCCAUAGCUCUUCAUCUCUGGAGAAGCUGGAAUUAAGCAAUACAUAACUUUGCGGGAGGAAAGUACUUGACUAUGUUGAAGUUUCAACUUUGGGCAAGUGUCAAGCUGGAGUAGAGAUAUCAACACGGACGCAGAGUGAGGCUAGCAACGAAUACCAACUCUUUGGAGCUUGUCUUAAGUGCUGGAUUGGAGAUUGAUGCAUUUAGUAAUUGUAUUGCUUAGUCAUCUUUGAAGACCAAAACAAUUCAAUGACUCGCCAUGAUUUUAAUGAAUUAUUUGGUUACGUAGAAUCAAUAUAUUUAAUGAUUCAUUA